AUUGAACGCUGGCGGCAUGCCUUACACAUGCAAGUCGAACGGCAGCACGGGAGCAAUCCUGGUGGCGAGUGGCGAACGGGUGAGUAAUACAUCGGAACGUGCCCGGUAGUGGGGGAUAGCCCGGCGAAAGCCGGAUUAAUACCGCAUGAGACCUGAGGGUGAAAGCGGGGGAUCGCAAGACCUCGCGCUAUUGGAGCGGCCGAUGUCAGAUGAGCUAGUUGGUAGGGUAAAGGCCUACCAAGGCAACGAUCUGUAGUUGGUCUGAGAGGACGACCAGCCACACUGGGACUGAGACACGGCCCAGACUCCUACGGGAGGCAGCAGUGGGGAAUUUUGGACAAUGGGCGCAAGCCUGAUCCAGCAAUGCCGCGUGCAGGAAGAAGGCCUUCGGGUUGUAAACUGCUUUUGUCAGGGAAGAAAUCUUCUGGGCUAAUACCCUGGGAGGAUGACGGUACCUGAAGAAUAAGCACCGGCUAACUACGUGCCAGCCGCCGCUGUAA
rnacentral:rRNA from 1 species